rnacentral:rRNA from 1 species
GACGAACGCUGGCGGCGUGCUUAACACAUGCAAGUCGAACGGAAAGGCCCUGCUUUUGUGGGGUGCUCGAGUGGCGAACGGGUGAGUAACACGUGAGUAACCUGCCCUUGACUUUGGGAUAACUUCAGGAAACUGGGGCUAAUACCGGAUAGGAGCUCCUGCUGCAUGGUGGGGGUUGGAAAGUUUCGGCGGUUGGGGAUGGACUCGCGGCUUAUCAGCUUGUUGGUGGGGUAGUGGCUUACCAAGGCUUUGACGGGUAGCCGGCCUGAGAGGGUGACCGGCCACAUUGGGACUGAGGUACGGCCCAGACUCCUACGGGAGGCAGCAGUGGGGAAUAUUGCACAGUGGGCGGAAGCCUGAUGCAGCAACGCCGGGUGCGGGAUGACGGCCUUCGGGUUGUAAACCGCUUUCGCCUGUGACGAAGCGUGAGUGACGGUAAUGGGUAAAGAAGCACCGGCUAACUACGUG